rnacentral:rRNA from 1 species
UACGAAGGGUGCAAGCGUUACUCGGAAUUACUGGGCGUAAAGCGUGCGCAGGCGGCGCGUUAAGACAGGUGUGAAAGCCCCGAGCUUAACUUGGGAAUUGCGCUUGUGACUGGCGUGCUGGAGUGUGGCAGAGGGAGGUGGAAUUCCACGUGUAGCAGUGAAAUGCGUAGAGAUGUGGAGGAACACCGAUGGCGAAGGCAGCCUCCUGGGCCAGCACUGACGCUCAUGCACGAAAGCGUGGGGAGCAAACAGG